rnacentral:rRNA from 1 species
GGCCCUGCUCGGGCCGCACUAACCCUGCGGCUGGCGAAGGUGCUAUUCUCACCGCCCCUCUUUAUGCGUACCUCUUGUUCUUCCUCGGCAGGGUGACCUGCCGGUGGAACCUCAUCAUGAACCCUUUUUAUAAAGCAUUACUUGUUCUGAUACCCUAAAUCGUUACAACUUUCAACAAUGGAUCUCUUGGCUCUGGCAUCGAUGAAGAACGCAGCGAAAUGCGAUAAGUAGUGUGAAUUGCAGAAUUCAGUGAAUCAUCGAAUCUUUGAACGCACAUUGCGCCCCUUGGUAUUCCAUGGGGCAUGCCUGUUCGAGCGUCAUCUGCACCCUCAAGCACUGCUUGGUGAUGGGCGUCUGUCCCGCCUCUGCGCGCGGACUCGCCCCAAAGGUAUUGGCAGCGGUCCUGUCCGCCUCUCGCGCAGCACAGAUGCGCUUCUCGAGGCUUCGGGGCCCGCGUCCAUGAAGCUCUUUUACCACGUUUGACCUCGGAUCAGGUAGGGAUACCCGCUGAACUUAAGCAUAUCAAUAAGGCGGAGGAA